AGGGGAUGACUUGUGGCUAGGGGUGAAAGGCCAAUCAAACUCGGAGAUAUCUGGUUCUCCGCGAAAUCUAUUUAGGUAGAGCGUCAUGUGAAUACCAUCGGGGGUAGAGCACUGGAUGGGCUAGGGGGACUCACCGUCUUACCAAACCUAACCAAACUCCGAAUACCGAUGAGUAAUGCAUGGCAGACACACUAUGGGUGCUAAGGUCCAUAGUGGAAAGGGAAACAGCCCUAACCGCCAGUUAAGGUCCCGAAAUCAUUGCUAAGUUGAAAAGGAUGUAGAACGUCCAAAACAGCCAGGAGGUUGGCUUAGAAGCAGCCAUCCUUUAAAGAAAGCGUAACAGCUCACUGGUCUAAUUAAGAUGUUCUGUGCCGAAAAUGUAACGGGGAUCAAGCAAUGUACCGAAACUGCGGGUGCUAUUUAUAGCGCGGUAGCGGAGCGUUCCGUAAGCCUGUGAAGGAUAACCGUGAGGUUAUUUGGAGGUAUCGGAAGUGAGAAUGCUGACAUGAGUAACGAUAAAGAGGGUGAGAAACCCUCUCGCCGAAAGUCCAAGGGUUCCUGCUUAAAGUUAAUCUGAGCAGGGUUAGCCGGCCCCUAACGCAAGGGCGAAAGCCGUAGUGGAUGGGAAUGAGGUUAAUAUUCCUCAGCCAGUGGGUAGUGACGGAUUUGGUAACCUGUAUUUUCUUAUUGGAUUGAAAAUGCAGCGAACAAGUUCCAGGAAAUAGCUCCCACAUUACUGACCGUACCCCAAACCGACACAGGUGGACGAGUAGAGAAUACUAAGGCGCUUGAGAGAACUAUGUUGAAGGAACUCGGCAAAAUACCUCCGUAACUUCGGGAGAAGGAGGCCCGGUCUUAAGGCAACUUUUGGUCGGGGGCACAAAAUUGGGGGUGGCGACUGUUUACUAAAAACACAGGACUCUGCGAAGCCGUAAGGCGACGUAUAGGGUCUGACGCCUGCCCGGUGCUGGAAGGUUAAGAGGAGGAGUGCAAGCUCCGAAUUGAAGCCCCAGUAAACGGCGGCCGUAACUAUAACGGUCCUAAGGUAGCGAAAUUCCUUGUCGGGUAAGUUCCGACCUGCACGAAUGGCGUAACGACUUCCCCGCUGUCUCCAACAUAGACUCAGUGAAAUUGAAUUUCCCGUGAAGAUGCGGGAUAACUGCGGUUAGACGGAAAGACCCCGUGCACCUUUACUACAGCUUUGCAGUGAUAUUAGUAAUGCUAUGUGUAGGAUAGGUGGGAGGCUUUGAAGCAUUAGCGCCAGUUAGUGUGGAGCCAUCCUUGAAAUACCACCCUUAUCCUUAUUGAUAUCUAACCGCGGUCCGUGAAACCGGAUCCGGGACCCUGCAUGGUGGGUAGUUUGACUGGGGCGGUCGCCU
rnacentral:rRNA from 1 species